GAGUAUAGAAAAAAAUAGAAGAAAAAUAGGAGAAAACAUAGGUAAAAACCCCAGCCAUUGUUUAAGCUUCGUUAUCUGCUUCUUUUUCUUUCAUUGCAUUAUAUUUUUCAGAGAUUUGUGGGAAUGGAGAGCACUUGAGAGAGAUUAGAGGGGUUUUUGUUUUUUCUCAAAUAUAUGGGAUUCCGUGCAUGGGAAAGGAAAGUGC
rnacentral:lncRNA from 1 species